ensembl:lncRNA
GGAGGACACAGAAUGGUAUGAAGGAGAGGAGGACACAGAAUGGUAUGAAGGAGAGGAGGACACAGAAUGGUAUGAAAGAGAGGAGGACACAGAAUGGUAUGAAAGAGAGGAGGACACAGAAUGGUAUGAAGGAGAGGAGGACACAGAAUGGUAUGAAAGAGAGGAGGACACAGAAUGGUAUGAAGGAGAGGAGGACACAGAAUGGUAUGAAGGAGAGGAGGACACAGAAUGGUAUGAAGGAGAGGAGGACACAGAAUGGUAUGAAGGAGAGGAGGACACAGAAUGGUAUGAAGGAGAGGAGGACACAGAAUGGUAUGAAGGAGAGGAGGACACAGAAUGGUAUGACAGACAGGAGGACACAGAAUUGCAGGGACAUCAGACAUCAAACAUAGAGAAAGCCGCAUUUAAUUACAUAUGAUAGGCUAGUUAUUUCCUGCUGUGGUAUCAUCUAUGUUCCACAUAAAAAAGAAAUGAUGUUAAGCAUUUGGAGCAUUGGGCACUAUAUAUCUAGUGGGAACCACAACACUGUCUAGUGUUGUGUUGAGGCAGUGGCUAUACACGAUCCAUUUCCAUCACUGGAUAUGGAUGUGACUAUGCAUGCACUUGCACUGAAGGGGAAAAGCAUCAUAAUUAUACCCUGUACUCAGUGGCGGUUCUAGCUUGUUCCCCCAACAACAAAAAAGCACCAUUCUGCGCUAACUGUAAUUUUUAUUCAGACAUUUGGAAACACAAAUAAAUAAUCAUAACAUUUAAAACUAUAUAAAUAUAAAUUUAUAUACAAAAAUAGGACUCCUAAAUAUCAAAAAGAAGUAACAAAGACAAAUAGAAACAAAUUGUAAUAUAUAAAUAGAAUAAAAAAGAUAAUCGAAUUACACUAUUACCCUAUUCCUAACACACACAAAAAAAAAAACAUGAAACUGCACAAAUCCGUAAAUCACACAAAUACACAAAUAGAACAACACACUUAUAAAGAAGGGAACCUGAUUAUUACACUACUGCACUUCAAACAAGAAACACACCAACUAAAUUGCACAACUAAUUGCAUUAGUACUGUACACUGUCAGAGGUGCGCUAUUUGAUAGAUUCCCCCAGCUCCCCCAACCCCGGGCUUCCAGUGGGGAGACCUGAGGUCAACCUACCCCCGCUUCCUCCCCAUCUUGUACUUUUGAGUUGGAGACCUUCCCAGGCAGUAGCAUGCCUAGCUCAUAAACUAGAAUCAGGACGCCCACUCCGACAAGGUUAAUUGACCCACAGUCCCACACGGUGACAUGAUAUCAUUGACGUGACGUGCAAAUGAGCGAUAGAAAACAGUUCACGCAAAUGUCACCAUUUGGAAUAUUAUUACAUAUAUUGUCUGGUGCGGGCACCCCAUGCUGCCACCGGCAAGACGCUGCACCGGGUGGCUUCCCAUGUCGCCUAUGCCUAAAUCCGCCACUGCCUGUACUGUAUGCAGUGGAGAUGUGAUGUUUCACUGUGACAGUACAGUACAUGUGGUGCUGUUCGACAUCAGUGCACUCAGGGGGACAAUGGCUUUAGUCUAGAUUUCCAGGUCAAAUGAAUCUGAUUCAGUAUCUCCUCCAUGUGUUGUCCUCCCUGUCAUGUCCCCAAUCCUCACCGCCAAGACACUGUGUUAUGGAUCAUUGCUCCCUGGGAUCCUUGGGAAGUCCAACGAUGACAUCACCCCGUUGAAGUUGAAAUGUAAAAUGGUUAAGGUAAGGGUUAUUGUAAUGAACAUGAGGGGAGACAGAGAGCUGGUUUCAAGCGCAGGGUGCAGCAGGUGUUUAUUGCAAAGGACCACAGGAGGAGGCAGGUAGCUGGGUCCAGGGGCAGGCAGAAGGUCAUACACAGGGGGUCCAAAAGGGAAACAGUACAGGCAGGGAAAAGGCUAGUAACGUAGUCCGGGAGAUCGGGCAAUAGGUAGGUAACAGGAAAUCCGAUAGGCUAAAGUACAGGCAGAGAAUAGGCAAAAGGCGUCGUUAGUGAGGCAGGCAAAAACUAUCCAACACAGGAGGAUUAAAUCACAGGGAAGCCCAGUGCUCCGAAAGACGUGUGUCACAAAACAAACACAAAUACCUCACAGUGAUGGGGUGCAAAGAACUGAACUAAAUAGUGUGUGAUAAUGACAUACAGGUGUGUGAACAAGUGAAUAGAAUUCAGGUGAUUAGGAUCUGGAAAGUGAGCUGCGUUCAGGGGAUCUAGGUGUUUGAGGGUGUGGGCUGGAAAGUGAGCUGCGUUCAGGGGAUCUAGGUGUUUGUGUGUGGGCUGGAAGGUGAGCUGCGUUCAGGGGAUCUAGGUGUUUGAGAGUGUGUGCUGGAAAGUGAGCUGCGUUCAGGGGAUCUAGGUGUUUGAGUGGGCUGGAAAGUGAGCUGCGUUCAGGGGAUCUAGGUGUUUGAGGGUGUGGGCUGGAAAGUGAGCUGCGUUCAGGGGAUCUAGGUGUUUGAGGGUGUGGGCUGGAAAGUGAGCUGCGUUCAGGGGAUCUAGGUGUUUGAGGGUGUGGGCUGGAAAGUGAGCUGCGUUCAGGGGAUCUAGGUGUUUGAGGGUGUGGGCUGGAAAGUGAGCUGCGUUCAGGGGAUCUAGGUGUUUGAGGGUGUGAGUUGAGAGCAGACGUUACAGUUAUGGUGAUGGUUAAGGUUAUGGUUUGGGUAGGGACAUCCCAAGAAUACCAGAUAGCACCAACACUGUGUUAUGAUUGUAUUAUGACACGUUUUGUAAAUCAUGGUAGGAAUUACUGGUAUUGUAGUAUUGAAUGUCAAUGUUUUCUUCAUUUCUGUCAAUAAACAAAAUAGUUGGAAUACUUACAAUUUCAAAUCAAAUCAAAUUGUAUUAGUCACAUGCGCUGAAUACAACCUUACCUGUGAAAUGCUUACUUACAAGC